GAUGAACGCUAGCUACAGGCUUAACACAUGCAAGUCGAGGGGCAGCAGGGAUUUAGCUUGCUAAAUUCGCUGGCGACCGGCGCACGGGUGCGUAACGCGUAUCCAACUUUCCCGUUACUCUCGGAUAGCCUUCCGAAAGGGAGAUUAAUACGAGAUGGUGUUUUAAUUCCGCAUGUUAUUAGAACUAAAGAUUUAUCGGUAGCGGAUGGGGAUGCGUGACAUUAGAUAGUAGGCGGGGUAACGGCCCACCUAGUCUACGAUGUCUAGGGGUUCUGAGAGGAAGGUCCCCCACACUGGAACUGAGACACGGUCCAGACUCCUACGGGAGGCAGCAGUGAGGAAUAUUGGUCAAUGGUCGGAAGACUGAACCAGCCAAGUAGCGUGAAGGAUGAAGGUUCUAUGGAUUGUAAACUUCUUUUAUACGGGAAUAAAACCUCCCACGUGUGGGAGCUUGUAUGUACCGUAUGAAUAAGCAUCGGCUAACUCCGUG
rnacentral:rRNA from 1 species